CAGUGACAGAGGGAGGGGGUGACACAGUGAGGGAGGUGGUGACUAGUGACAGAGUGAGGGAGGUGGUGACUGUCACUAGUCACUAGUCACCACCUCCCUCACUCUGUCCCUCGUCACCCCUCCCUCU